CAGUCGCCGCGGUAAUACGGAGGGUGCAAGCGUUAAUCGGAAUUACUGGGCGUAAAGCGCACGCAGGCGGUCUGUCAAGUCAGAUGUGAAAUCCCCGGGCUUAACCUGGGAACUGCAUUUGAAACUGGCAGGCUAGAGUCUUGUAGAGGGGGGUAGAAUUCCAGGUGUAGCGGUGAAAUGCGUAGAGAUCUGGAGGAAUACCGAUGGCGAAGGCAGCCAUCUGGCCUAAUACUGACGCUGAGGUACGAAAGCAUGGGGAGCAAACAGGAUUAGAUACCCCUGUAGUCCCUGUCUCUUAUAC
rnacentral:rRNA from 1 species